GUGCCAGCAGCCGCGGUAAAACGUAGGAGGCGAGCGUUAUCCGGAUUUACUGGGCGUAAAGCGCGUGUAGGCGGUUCGGUGAGUUGGAUGUGAAAGCUCCCGGCUUAACUGGGAGAGGUCGUUCAAUACUGCCGGACUAGAGGAUGGGAGAGGGAGGUGGAAUUCCGGGUGUAGUGGUGAAAUGCGUAGAUAUCCGGAGGAACACCAGUGGCGAAGGCGGCCUCCUGGCCCAUUUCUGACGCUCAGACGC
rnacentral:rRNA from 1 species